rnacentral:rRNA from 1 species
UACGAAGGGGGCUAGCGUUGCUCGGAAUCACUGGGCGUAAAGCGCACGUAGGCGGCUUUUUAAGUCAGGGGUGAAAUCCUGGAGCUCAACUCCAGAACUGCCUUCGAUACUGGAAGACUUGAGUCCAGGAGAGGUGAGUGGAACUGCGAGUGUAGAGGUGAAAUUCGUAGAUAUUCGCAAGAACACCAGUGGCGAAGGCGGCUCACUGGCCCGGUACUGACGCUGAGGUGCGAAAGCGUGGGGAGCAAACAGG